UUUACAUACCAGUGCUGUGUGCCAGAAGGUUCCUCAGCUUCUGAAGUUGGAUGGAAAUGACCUCCCCCCACCCAUUGGCUUUGAUGUGGACACACCCACCACUCUCCCACCUUGUAAGGUUAGUCAGUGUGAUGCUGAAUUGUCUGUUGUGUUCAAAACGUCACUUGUCAAAGUACAAGAAUAUAGAAGCCACUAUAUUUUUAGAUUCAAGCCUUUUCUUUUCUGUAAUGAACGUCUCAUUUCUCCUGCUAAAUGUUGACCAUGUGAUCACACAGAGAAGCUGCUUUGGCUCUGAUGACGCUAAACGUCUACAUUCAGCGCUUUUUGCAACAGUGAGUUUCUAACAUUUUUCUCUAUGUCGCUUCACAGCGUUUCUAACAAUAAGUAGGAAAUGACAUCAGUGAUUGGUGGUGAUAGGAACAAAGAUGUCGGUGCCACACAUUACUUGAUACACAUGACGUUGUUGUCGCUGCUCAGAUCAUUGAUCAAUGGCCUCAUUUCUAACCGUAGCACAUACACAAAACAUGGCCUGAAAGAAGGUGCGUGACACUAUCCUCCAUAAAUAAAUGAAUGUGUGGGAAACGCUGAUGUUAAGUUUAUCUAAUAAUAGUUUGUUUGUUGUUUUGAGUUAAAUGUGCUAAAUUUGGCACUGGAAAUAAAAGGGCAUUUUGAUAUUUUGAAGUUAGUUUAAAACAAUGAUUAAGCACCAGAAGCGUUAAACGUAGCGAGUAGCAACCGAUACCCAACCCUAGUAAUGAUGGAGCCCACCUGAUGUUUGUCUUGUUUUUUAACUGCCCUAGCGAUGCGUUUCCAUCUGCUGAAGCACACACGACUGAAUGUGGUGAACGUUCCUCAACGAGCUGCCAUAAACCCAGCAUGACAUCAUCUCUUUCACCGUGGACGUAAACGCCUACACAGUGAGUUCAUGUCUGAUCUGCCACACACUGAGUUACAUCAUUUAUGUUGUUCACUCUCAGCCAAACUGCUUUGUUUUCACAGAAUACGCUGCUGUCAUUCACAGUGGGCGGAGUCUUCAAAGAAGUUGUUGUAGAUGAUAAAUCUAAAGAAUCUACAAGGUUUUCAUCACAGUUCCAGCAGUGGAUUCUGGUUUGUGCAUCAUCAACGACCAGCUCUUCAUCAGAAUGGCUACAACGGAGCAGAUCAGCAGAGCUUUUGUGCCCCGCCCCCUUCCUCCAGCCCAGUGACCACCCUCACUGCCCCACAGCAGGAGAUGCUCAGCACCUUCUCCCUGAAGUCAGACAUGAACCUGGAAUGAUCCCUGAAGUGUUUGCAGGACAACAAGUGGGACUUGAACAAAGCAGCACAUAUCUUCACUCAGUUAAAGGUGACAUGACUUUAAACAAUGAAUACUGUUGGUAGUGAGUGUUUUUGAUAGAUUACAAUGGAGCAUUGUAGUCAGUAAAAAAAAAAAAAUCAGUUUUCCAAAUAAUUUUUUUUUUAUCCGUUUUCCGAAUUAUUAUUGUUUUUUAAUUCUUUUUCCAAUUUUUAAAAAAUUGAAAUCCGUUUUCCGAAUUAAUUUUUUAAAACCGUUUUCCCGAAUAUUUUCACUAAAAUCAAAGUAAAUAACUUUUAAAAUCUAAUUUAUUUUCAAAGGAAGAACAAAAACAUUAUGGUUCAAUGUCUGCUUAAAUAAUUUAUUUCUCUUUUUUAAUAAACACUUUUUUUCAAAUAAAGUAAAAGCA
rnacentral:lncRNA from 1 species